rnacentral:lncRNA from 1 species
AUUAUUAAAUUUAAAAUUUCUUAUUUACCAUUUCUUAUCCUUUUGUCCACAUAGGUUGAAUUUGUCCUUGGAAAAUAAAAAAUGCUUACCAGGGAAACAAGGGUCCAUUAAAAAAGAAAACAUGAAACCUCCUGUUGAAAAUCACCUGGACCUUUAUGGAUAAUGAUAAUGAAAGAGAUUAACUGAAAGGAGCCCAGGAUGAGAUUUCAGAUGUGGCGUGUUGCUUAUGCUCAUGAAGAUGGUCUUGAUAAUGGAGAAACAUAAUAUGAUUUGAAUGACACAGCAAAGUGGAUACCAUACCAAAGAGUGUCAUAGAUGAACAUUGCUGGAUUUCAUAUUGAGGUGAUGGAAGUUACUCCAAGGUCCAGGUAGACUCUUUU